rnacentral:rRNA from 1 species
UUGGUUUAGUGGCGCACGGGUGCGUAACGCGUAUGCAACCUACCUUCCACAGGGGGAUAGCCUUCCGAAAGGGAGAUUAAUACCGCAUAACAUCAUUUGAGGGCAUCCGAAGAUGAUCAAAGCUGAGGCGGUGGAAGAUGGGCAUGCGUGCCAUUAGCUAGUUGGUAGGGUAACGGCCUACCAAGGCUUCGAUGGCUAGGGGUUCUGAGAGGAUGGUCCCCCACACUGGUACUGAGACACGGACCAGACUCCUACGGGAGGCAGCAGUAGGGAAUAUUGGGCAAUGGCCGCGAGGCUGACCCAGCCAUGCCGCGUGCAGGAAGAAGGCCUUCUGGGUUGUAAACUGCUUUUAUCUGGGAAGAAAACGCUCCUGCGGGGGUAACUGACGGUACCAGAUGAAUAAGCACCGGCUAACUCCGUGCCAGCAGCCGCGGUAAUACGGAGGGUGCAAGCGUUGUCCGGAUUUAUUGGGUUUAAAGGGUGCGUAGGCGGCCCUGUAAGUCAGCGGUGAAAUCCCAGGGCUCAACCCUGGAACUGCCGUUGAUACUGCAGGGCUUG